rnacentral:tRNA from 1 species
GCCCUCGUAGCUCAGAGGCCAGAGCAGCGGUUUCCUAAACUGUGUGUCGUGGGUUCGAAUCCCGCCGGGGGCA